rnacentral:rRNA from 1 species
GGAGGGUGCAAGCGUUGUUCGGAAUUACUGGGCGUAAAGCGUGUGUAGGCGGAUUCGGUAGUCGGGUGUGAAAGCCCUGGGCUCAACCCAGGAAGUGCGCCCGAAACCACGAGUCUUGAGGUCCGGAGGGGAUCGGGGAAUUCCCAGUGUAGAGGUGAAAUUCGUAGAUAUUGGGAGGAACACCGGCGGCGAAGGCGCCGAUCUGGACGGAUUCUGACGCUGAGACACGAAAGCGUGGGGAGCAAACAGGAUUAGAUACCCUGGUAGUCCACGCCGUAAACGAUGUGCACUAGGUGUCGGGGGUAUUGACCCCCCCCUCGGUGCCGACGCUAGCGCAUUAAGUGCACCGCCUGGGAAGUACGGCCGCAAGGCUG